CCUACGGGGGGCAGCAGUGAGGAAUAUUGGACAAUGGGCGAGAGCCUGAUCCAGCCAUGCCGCGUGCAGGAAGACUGCCCUAUGGGUUGUAAACUGCUUUUAUACAGGAAGAAUAAGCCUUACGUGUAAGGUGAUGACGGUACUGUAAGAAUAAGGACCGGCUAACUCCGUGCCAGCAGCCGCGGUAAUACGGAGGGUCCGAGCGUUAUCCGGAAUUAUUGGGUUUAAAGGGUCCGUAGGCGGAUGAUUAAGUCAGGGGUGAAAGUUUGCAGCUCAACUGUAAAAUUGCCUUUGAUACUGGUCAUCUUGAGUUGUAUUGAAGUAGGCGGAAUAUGUAGUGUAGCGGUGAAAUGCAUAGAUAUUACAUAGAACACCAAUUGCGAAGGCAGCUUACUAAGUACUAACUGACGCUGAUGGACGAAAGCGUGGGUAGCGAACAGGAUUAGAUACCCCAGUAGUC
rnacentral:rRNA from 1 species